rnacentral:rRNA from 1 species
GAUGAACGCUAGCGGCAGGCUUAACACAUGCAAGUCGAGGGGUAACAGGGUUUAGUUUACUAGAUUGCUGACGACCGGCGCACGGGUGAGUAACGCGUAUACAAUUUGCCUUUUACUGGAGGAUAGCCAAGAGAAAUUUUGAUUAAUACUCCAUAGUAUUAUUUGAUCACCUGAUUGAGUAAUAAAGUUCCGGCGGUAAAAGAUGAGUAUGCGUCCUAUUAGCUAGAUGGUAAGGUAACGGCUUACCAUGGCGACGAUAGGUAGGGGUCCUGAGAGGGAGAUCCCCCACACUGGUACUGAGACACGGGACCAGACUCCUACGGGAGGCAGCAGUGAGGAAUAUUGGGCAAUGGAGGCAACUCUGACCCAGCCAUGCCGCGUGCAGGAAGACUGCCCUAUGGGUUGUAAACUGCUUUUAUACAGGAAGAAACUUAUCCACGUGUGGAUAACUGAC